rnacentral:lncRNA from 1 species
CAGCCCUCAACCUCCACAACGUUCACCAAACACGGAAUGGCUGAGCUGUGGAUCCCAUCAUGCGUUCCCUGUUCCCUUGCAGGACGCCCUCAGUAAGGAAGGCUUUUAUUAUUAUUAUUAUUAUAUACUCAUUUCCUAGAAGAGGACUGCACUUUUAAGUACAUAUUAGCCAUUAAAAAUUAAUUUGCCUUUAAACUUUCAUAGCGUAUCUCUGAAACUUCAGAUUUCUUUCUAGAAAGAGCAUUUAUUGCAGCCCAAUUAACUGCAUUACUGCUGCUGAGAGGCACUGCGCGUUUCCAUUGCUGUAGUGUGAAGGUGAAUGUUAAAAAUUCAGUUGGGUUUGGUAUUCUGAGGUGGAAUCUCCCCAGUUACUCCUCUCUCCUCAUGUUUGAUGUAUGUGGUGUUGCUGUCUCUCACCUUUCCUAGGAGUUUUGGCUUAACGUGCCACUCUGUGCAGUGUGGCACAUGGGUACGUAUCAGAGCUUUCACCUGCGUGUGUAUUAAAAUGCGUUUCUUCUUCAUGCUGACAAAAUGUUUGUGUUCUGAGAGACAUGAGUGCAGUUCUCCAGUCCCUUACACGGCCUGUAGGCACGUCUGCUAGAAAUAAAUGUGGUGAUGUCGGAGGGGAUGGAUGCAGUAGGCACAUCCGUGAGCUCCACUUCCGCAGCUCCUGCUCAGCCAACCCGUCAGCUGGGAGGUCCCCUUCCCACAGACCGUCUUUGCAAAGGAAUUGCUGGGCGGGCUUUGCACCCAGGUGCCACAGAGCACUGCGCUCUCCCGGUGUGGGCGGUGUGACCCCGGUGGAAUCACAGAGCUACAGAGCGGCAGCGGUCGGAAGGGACCACAAGAGAUCAUCGGGUCCAACCCCCCUGCUAAACCAGGCUCCAUACAGCAGGUCACACAGCCCAAAUAAAUCCUUCCGAUAGAUCAGGGAGUUGGAGACGUUCUCAGUAGCGGAGCGCUGCGGAGAUGAGCGUAACCUCACCUGCUGCCCAGCCAAAUGAAAACGGGGAGGACAAAAAGAAAAACCAUCCCGGAUAGCAACGUUCCAGAUACAAAGACUGUCACGGGCCAGUGCGAGUUGGCAAAAUUGUAUGUAAAUGACGGCAGUUUUGUCCGCGGUGGCCCUCUGCUAAUCCCGGAGAGAAAAUCUACUUAGCCGGGGAAGUUCUGUCUGAUUUGGUUAACAGUGCCCGAA